UUGGACCAGCAGGUCCAAAACAGCAGAAGCCAAGGCAAGCAGCAGUCUUGGAGAUGCCCUCUGACCUGCCAUGGACUGGAGCCUCUAAGAUGCUUCCUCCUGAGGCUGGAGCUGAUGACUGGCAUCCUUGGGAUGUAACCUGCGUGCAGCUGGCAGUUCAACAAAUAUUCACGCUGGAAUGGGAUGCAGAAGUCACCUACUUUCAGAGAUGGGGACACUGAGACCCAGAGAGGGCACAGCCUUUUCUCGGGGGCCUCCAGUGACUCAGAGUCAAAUCUGUGCUUCUUGGCUCCUGGAUCUCUGAGCUGCACCCACUGGACCCCUAUGCCCACCCCAGCACCCCUGUUCUCCAUGGCGGCCCCGCCCUGAGGAUUUCCUAUGCCUUUUCACAGAGCUUUCUCCUUCUCCUAGAUCGCUUUUCUGCAAAAUGAGGCUGGGGAGUUCUGAGCCAAGCCCAGGCCCACGUGCCUGGAACCAGAGACAGCAUAAGGAGCAGACACUGCCAGGUCACUUGCAGCAGACUCCAGGAGGAAACGAGGGAAACAGAACCUCUGCCGUAGCCUAGCCAGGGCUCUCAGAGCCUAGAAAGCUCUUAGGAGAAGUGGAGAGUUGUUCAGAUCCAGGCUAAUUUGUCAUCUCCA
rnacentral:lncRNA from 1 species